rnacentral:rRNA from 1 species
UACCGUACUAAGGUAGCAUAAUCAUUUGCCUUCUAAUUAAAGGAUAGUAUGAAAGGAAAAACGAAAUUUAAUCUAUAUUAUUAAUAUUUAUAUAAAUUAUACUUCAGGUGAAGAUACCUGUAUUUAUUUGAAAGACAAGAAGACCCUAUAGAAUUUUAGAAAUAAAUAACUCCUUUAAUAUUACUUUUCUUUUGUUGGGGCGACUAAAGAUUAAUAAAAACAUCUUUCUUUCUCUCAAAUUCUCCUUUCUUAUUAUGAUCCUAAUUCUAGAUUAACAAAAUAAAUUACCUUAGGGAUAACAGGCUAAUCUUCUUAAAGAGUUCAAAUCGACAAGAAAGUUUGGCACCUCGAUGUUGGCUUAGAGAACCGAUUUGCUGCAACAAGUAAAUAAGGUAGUUUGUUCAACUAUUAAUUCUCUACGUGAUCUGAGUUCA